GACGGUAGCUUAACUAUCGCAGUGCCCUUGAUACUGAAGAGCUUGAAUAUAGUUGAGGUAGGCGGAAUGUGACAAGUAGCGGUGAAAUGCAUAGAUAUGUCACAGAACACCAAUUGCGAAGGCAGCUUACUAAGCUAUGAUUGACGCUGAGGCACGAAAGCGUGGGGAUCAAACAGGAUUAGAUACCCUGGUAGUCCACGCCCUAAACGAUGAACACUCGAUGUUGGCGAUAUACAGUCAGCGUCUAAGCGAAAGCGUUAAGUGUUCCACCUGGGGA
rnacentral:rRNA from 1 species